rnacentral:rRNA from 1 species
AGGCUAAUACCUGAUAGGAGUUUUGUUCUGGAAUGAUAUUACUCUCAAACUCGUGCCCAAGGAUGAGACUGCGGCUGAUUAGCUUGUUGGCGGAGUAAUAGCCCACCAAGGCAAUGAUCAGUAAGGGCCCUUAGCGGGGUCGCCCUGAGAAGGAAUCUGAGACACUAUUCCUAGCUCUACGGAGUGCAGCAGCUGCGAAUUUUCUGCAAUGCGCGCAAGCGUGACAGAGCGAACCAAAGUGUUAUUCUUUUUGAAUAACUUUUGUCUGCUGUAAAAAGGCAGAUGAAUAAGGACUGGGCAAGACCGGUGCCAGCCGCCGCGGUAAUCCCGGCAGUCCAAGUUGCAAUCAACUUUAUUGGGUCUAAAACAUCCGUAGCUUGUUUAGUAAGUUUCUUGUGAAAUCUGGCAUCUCAAGUGUCAGGCGGGCAGGGAGUACUACUAGGCUAGAGACCGGGAGAUGUAAGGAGUACAUUCGAGGUAAUGGUUAAAUAUGUUAAUCUUGAAUGGACUAACAAUUGGCGAAGGCACCUUACAAGAACGGAUCUGACAGUGAGGGAUGAAGGCCAAGGGCGCAAAACGGAUUAGAUACCCGUGUAGUCUUGGCAGUAAACACUGCUCACUAAACAUCGGGACCUCUUCGGGAGGUUUCGGUGCUGAAGCGAAGGCGAAGAGUGAGCUACCUGGGAAGUAUAGUCGCAAGAUCGAAACUUAAAGGAAUUGGCGGGGGAGCAC